rnacentral:lncRNA from 1 species
ACUACACAAGGCAUUAACCGUGAAGUGUUAAAAUAAAAACAGGUGCUGAUUAAAUCUGCCUGGGUAAUUGUGGAUGUGACUAAGUGUUGAGAACUACUGUAACAUGAGCACUAAGUGUGAUUUUUUUGCUGGGUGAUCUUCAUUUUUCUUUGAAUGAACGCCUCAGAAUAGCAGACUCAUUCAUUAAAUGUUUGGGGGAGUGUCGCCCAAGUGACCCAGGUGUCCCCAAGUGUUACUGUCAACAGGUGACAAUCAGCACCACAACAACAACAAAGCAACACAAACAGCUGCACUGAGAAACAGCUCCCUGUACCUGCACACCAAACUCAGAGUAGCAGCCAAAAUUCCCCGGAGUGACGGAAGGGAGUCAUUUCCCCUGUUACAGCUAAUAAAGCACUAAUUGCCCUCUGGGUUGGGACGUGAGUUAUGAGCAGGAGCUGAGGUAAAUCACUUUCAUAAUGGAAAACAACAGCCUUCCCUUCUGGUUACACUAUGCACAACUCAACCAGUUAGCAGUAAAAUACCUUCAGAGGAGAUGCUCAAUGAGGCUGAUUUUGAAGACAGGUUAGCAGAAACGCAACGCAACUGAGCUCGGAAGGUUGUGGAAACUAACAUUUUUUUGGAGGUUUUAUGAUUCACAUGGCAAAAUGAUUUAGAUUCAAACUCAUACUUUAAGACGCCCCCUUUAGCCUCCACUAACCCCAGACUAAUUCUUUUUCCUUCUACUGUUUAGAAACCACAACAUAUUGACAGUCUGGUCAGUCUGCUCACAGACUCUAUUAGUCACACAGCACAGAAGCCUGCUAACUCCCCUCCUUUCCUGUGUUUAUUUCACAAAUGUGCAUGAGUGAGAGUAAAUUUGCCAGCCACUCCACUUCCCAGUUUGCUUGCCAGCAGUUUUCUCCAGCCAAGUUGAGCCACAGCUGUUUACAAAGAAGGUGUUUCUGUUGCUACAGCCAGCCGGCCUUGGAUCAUAGGUUUGGUUGAAGCAUUGACCAGGUACAGACUCCAGCUUUACGGAAUGUGUUGUGCAACAAUAUUAUGGGAAUAUUACACAGCACUGACCUGAACCUGCUGAGGAAUAACAGUUAAGGAUACCACCUUAACCAAAAACAAAGGGCAUUGCUAAUCCAGUGUCAUAAUAACAACAACAGAAAUCAUACACCUGUGUGACUUGUGACAGAAAACACAAUGGGAGGGGCCCCUUUGUGAUGCCAUCACUGUCUUUACUGGCUAAAAAAACUAGUUUCCAGGUAGAUUAAAGGUCUGCUGAAACCUGUGGGGAGCCAGUCCGGUUGUCACUAUUUAUCUGGUUGUCACCAUUUCAGGUCAUAGAUGUCUAAAGACUGUUAAGCUUCCAACACCACAUCCAGAAAAAAACCUGUUCUUUAUGGAUCCAUAUUUAUGUAAUAAAGAUGCACUGUGACACUAAUUGCUCUCUGAUUAUAAUAGGUAGCCUAGUGUCUGUAGUACUCCGUGCAUGAGUGUGCAGCUGGAGAGGCUAGUGGAGUGGUGUGCAUGUGAAACCGAAGCCCAUCCACACCUUGCCUCGUCUGCUCUCUCCUCUCCUCAAAGGCUUCAGCCCUCAGUGGCAUUUGUGUGAAUCCAACUUCUUGCCGCCAUGGUAACCAGAGCAGAGAGAGGAUUGGAUAUAAAUGAGAGAAAGUGAGAGGGCAUGACCCGAACAUCACACAGUCUCCCAUGAUGCUGUGUUUAGUAUUCUGGCUGAAUGAGCAGUGCUCACUCUGCUACAGUAAUAACUGGACAAUUUGGACUUAAUUAUCAUCUUCCUACUUACUUCAUUGUUUUAAUAAGAUACAACACUGAUUAUAGUAUGACCGUGUUUUCAUGAAUCUUAUGAUCCGUCCUCGGUCUCUUUUACACGAUGCAAAUUGUGCAGAAUUAUUUUUGAAUUUUACUUUCAUAAAUCAUAUCUGAGCUGAUUCCCUGGAUUUUCUAGCAUGCUUUUGCAUGAUGGGCAGGAUUAGUUCACUUCUGUGUCUAUGCAUUAUUACAUUAUCAAACAAUCAAAAUGAAUGAAGAGCAAAGUUGAACAGCAAAAGUAAGAUAGAUAAAAUUGUAGAUGUUUGUCUUUUGCCACAUUUUUUUGGAGCAAGCGUUGCAGAUGC